AAAUUGAAGAGUUUGAUCAUGGCUCAGAUUGAACGCUGGCGGCAGGCCUAACACAUGCAAGUCGAGCGGUAGCACAGAGAGCUUGCUCUCGGGUGACGAGCGGCGGA
rnacentral:rRNA from 2 species